GAACACUAGUCAGUAUUUGUUAAAUAUGUAAAUGCCAGUUACUCUGCUGAAAGACUCUAGCAGUUUAAAGACGUGACUGUAAACCUUCUCUGGGUUGCACUCUCUCUCUCUCUCUCUCUAGCGCAGCGCUCAGGAAUGCAGCGAUGGCAAAGAAUCAAUGAAUCAUUUCUCCUGUCUGCAGGAGCGGCUCUUAAGACCAGCACCAGUCCUUAAACCAAACCAAACUAACUCACAUCCUGGUCUUUGUGCUCAAACGCUGAGCUAAUAAUAGACUCGCCUGGAAUCUCUCUGUCUCUCUCUCUCUCUCUCUCUCUCUCUCUCAGGUCGACCAUCCUGAACCAAUCCGGGUUAGCGGGGAAUGUUCUCUGGAAUGACAAUUAAAUGAAACAAAGACGAACUGGUGCAGUGAACCCGGGACAAAUGAGAAGGUGUGUUUGAAAUGAACUUCCUGAACUGCUGCACAUCUACAAAUACUCUUCAUGAAUGAGUUCAGAGCUGCUGAAACUCGUGACGGGAGGAAUUCAACAUCCAUCGCUCAGCCCUGAAUUCAAGACUGAGUAUGAACCGCAAACCCAGAGACAUAAACCACACAGAAAGAGAUGGACAGGAGGAGAAGAGAUGAUGUGAUGAAGUGAAAAACUGAAACGAUUAUCCACUAAUACACACACACACACACACACACACACACACUUACAGAUAUUAUUUACUAUUAAACAUGUUCAGGGUUCAAACCGAAACUCAUUCAUAAUCCAGUGCUGGUGAAGCUGCUUCCAAACUUUAGGUUUGUUUCUUCGUUUUAAUUGUGUCUGUAUUGACAGAAGGAUCAGGACAGUGCUGAUGAAGUCAAGCUGCUCCUCUGAAAAAGCAGGCGGGUUCACACCGAGAGAAGCUCAUUUAUCGUGAUCUCGUUCUGCUCGGCUGCACUGAGGGUGUUUCAUUCCUGCUCUCCCAUUUAAAGACAUGCACGCUUCCAGCUAUUGUGGAACAGGAUACGAGAGCUGCUCCCAAACUUCCUGCUUUCCAUGACAUCUGGCACAGACGCUGCCACACAGUGAACCAGCUGAUCCGGCGAUCGCUGUCCAAACCUCCACAAACACGUGUGAGUCUCACCAGAUUGUGGAUUAUUGUGAUGUUUUUAUCAGCUGUUUGGACUCUCAUUCUGACGGCACCCAUUCACUGCAGAGCAUCCAUUGAUGAGACACUGAUGCAAUGCUACAUUUUUUUAUAUUUUUGAUUGGUAGAUUUUUUUUAUUGAAUAUUAAUUGUCAUUUGAACCUCAUCUGAGAAAGCCAAAGGUGACAGAAUAAAAGCUCCCUAUUUAAUCA
ensembl:lncRNA